UACGUAGGGGGCAAGCGUUGUCCGGAAUCAUUGGGCGUAAAGAGCGUGUAGGCGGCUCGGUAAGUCCGCUGUGAAAGUCCAGGGCUCAACCCUGGAAUGCCGGUGGAAACUGUCGAGCUAGAGUCCGGAAGAGGCGAGUGGAAUUCCUGGUGUAGCGGUGAAAUGCGCAGAUAUUAGGAGGAACACCAAUGGCGAAGGCGAGUCUCUGGACAUUUCCUGACGCUGAGGCACGAAAGCCAGGGGAGCAAACGGG
rnacentral:rRNA from 1 species